rnacentral:tRNA from 1 species
CCUCCUUAGCGAGAACUCAGUAGCCUCUCGGUAAAGUGCCUACCUCUAUUACUUGAUCCUGUAGAUUUUUAGAACAGUUAGUCUUAUAGAUGGGGCUAUAGCUCAGCUGGGAGAGCGCCUGGUUUGCAUCCAGGAGGUCUGCGGUUCGAUCCCGCAUAGCUCCACCAACUACUUUAGAGCAAAUUUCAAAGGGGUCAGAAUUUCACUCUGACCCCUUUGAAAUUCUGAAGACCGUUCUUUAACAAUUUGAUGAAUGAAGACAUAUAUAUGUUUGUUAUAUUGUGUUGGAUCGUGCGCGUUUGUGAUGAUCGCGUAGGUGAAGGCGCAGUACCAAUUUUAUGUAUGCUGUAAUUUUAACAAGUUAUACAAGUGCAAAAUCUGUACGGAAAAGUCGUUAUUAGUUGUUUGAAGUAUUCUGUGUUAGUUGUGAGUUUUUUUGGCUGAGAGGCCAUCUUUUGAGGACGGCAUUAAAGGGCUGUCCUUGAUCGAGCUAAGACAGAGCUUAUGAUUA